rnacentral:tRNA from 2 species
GGGGCCGUAGCUCAGUUGGUAGAGCGCCUGCUUUGCAAGCAGGAUGCCGCGGGUUCGAGUCCCACCGGCUCCACCA